UAAAAAAGUGCUUCGUUUAAAUUUUAAUAAUUAUAAGCGCAUUUAAAGGUAAACUGCAACAUAAUUUAAGAGCAUAAAGAACUAUAAGUGAAGAUGAAAUGUGUUGUACACUGUGUGCUUGCGAUGUGUUUUUUGCUGGGCGUGUUCGUUGGCUUCAUAUACCUGAUGACCUUGGUGGAUCCAGGCCUGCUAGAGUUACGUGAGAAGGCAGCUGCCAUGAUGAGAGAAGACCGCGGGGAGCCGGCCUUGCCAGAGGUCACCAGCACUUUACUGCCGUCGGAAGACUACAUGGACGGCGAGACAGUGUUGAGAAGAAUGCUACCUAAGAGGCCCAUAUAUUAUUAGUAACGAAUGUAGCGAGGACUGUAUUGGUGUAGUGUAGCUAUAGUAUAUUCGGUGUAGUGAAUUAUUAAUUUAUAACAAAGUUUUUAAUAAUAAAUAGUAACAUUCUCAUACUUUAGCCUUGAAUUAUUUUAUAUCAAGUGUACACUACUAAUUAAUCAAUAAGAUAUAGACACAUGAAUGGCUUUUGAGCGGGUGCAUUACAUUUGUUAUAAUUACUUUUCAUAUAUUAUAGUUUGAUAUAUCGUUAUUUUGAAUAACGUAAUAAAUGCCAUAAUACCGUAAUACCUAAUUAACGGUAUACAUAAUGUUAUUAUUG